AUGCAGUUUAUUCAUUGCAGCAUUUUUUUGUAAAAGAGUAAAAAGAAAAUGCCCCACAAUUGGGAAAUUGUUAGGUUAAUUAUUGUAUACACACUGAAUAAAAUAAUGCAGCCAUUUAAAGUGAUAUUUUUGAAGAAUCAUCCAUGUUGUUUGAAGAUGUUCACAAUAGGUAAUAAAAUCACACUAUAAAAACAUAUACAUUGUAUAGUCUCAUUUUUACUUCUUAUAUGCUAAAAAAGGCUUAAGAUACACCCAAAAUGUUAAUAGUGGUUUUAUCUGGGUGAUGAAAUUAUAGAGGAUUUAAAAUUUCAUUAUACUUUUAUACAAUUUUAUUAUUGUGACUAUAAAUAUUACUUUAAUAACUAGAAAAUUAUGUAUAAUGAACAUUGACAUUGCUUUUAAAUAAAGAAAUAUAUUUUACUUGGAGAGAAGACAUCUACAUCCAAGGAAUUGAAGAUUUAAUGGAGGAAAUCAGACAGGUACACAAAUAAAGAGUGUUGCAAGGCAAUAACGGCAACAACAGAGUUUUUACCAAGUAUAGAGGGAACGCUCUACCUGAUAGAGUUGAAGUUUGGUAAAAAGAGAAAACAUUUGUGCAGGGUCUUGAAGGAUGAAUAGGAGUUCUCUAAGGCUAUGUAAAUUGUUAAGCACUAUGUAAGUGGAAGUUAGUCUUUGGCCUUUAUUAUUACUGCCAAGACUUACCUCACAUAAAGCUCUCUUUCUUGUCUCUUUCCCAUGGUCCCUGAAGCACAGGAUUGCUGGGACAGGAAGCAGCAGCAGUUAAACAGUCACACGUCAGUGCUCCAGCAAGUGAACUGAGGUGCAUCCAACUAAGGCCCAGAUUCAGGACCAAAGGACAUAAAAUUAUCUGGGAGCAGAGCCAGGAAGGUGCUGGAGGAGCCAGCUUCUUUACCAGUGCUGCCAUCAGAAUGACUCUGGAAGACCCACAGCUACAGAUGGACUCCAGGCAUGCUGUGGGCCACCCCAGAGGUUCACAUUUUCUCCGUCCUUUCCCUCUUUCAUUAUAAAUUGGUUUUUAUUGUGCAAAUGAUACAGUGAUAAGAAUGGAAACCCUAAAAAUAAAAGAAAGAGG
rnacentral:lncRNA from 1 species